GCUCCCGUAGCUCAGAUGGAUAGAGCGGCGGACUUCUAAUCCGUAGGUCGUAGGUUCGAUUCCUACCGGGGGCGCAA
rnacentral:tRNA from 2 species